CCUACGGGAGGCAGCAGUGGGGAAUAUUCCUCAAUGGACGAGAGUCUGAACCAGCAAAGUAGCGUGAAGGAUGACUGCCCUCGGGUUUGUAAGCUUCUUUUAUCUGGGAAUAAAUCGUUCCACGUGUGGGAUUUUGUAUGUACCAUAUCAAUCAGGAUCGGCUAACGCCGUGCCAGCAGCCGCGGUACUACGGAGGAUCCGAGCGUUAUCCGGAUUGAUUGGGUUUAAAGGGAGCGUAGGUGGAUGGUUAAGUCAGUUGUGAAAGUUUGCGGCUCAACCGUAAAAGUGCAGUUGAAACUGGCAGUCUUGAGUACAGUAGAGGUGAGCGGAAUUCGAGGUGUAGCGGUGGAAUGCGUAGAUAGCACGAAGAACUCCGAUUGCGAAGGCAGUUCACUGGACUGUAACUGACACUGAGGCUCGAAAGCGUGGGUAGCAAACAGGAUUAGAUACCCUGGUAGUC
rnacentral:rRNA from 1 species